rnacentral:lncRNA from 1 species
AUCAAGAAAGAUGUAAGCUAUUGGAUUGGUCCAAGCGUUUCCGCAUAAUUUGUGGGACUGGUAGGGGUCUUCUCUACCUUCAUCAAGAUUCUAGAUUGAGGAUUAUACAUCGAGAUCUCAAAGCAGGUAAUGUGUUACUCGAUCAGGAUAUGAAUCCAAAAAUUUCAGAUUUUGGCUUGGCCAGAACUUUUGGCGGAGAUGAGACAGAAGGAAACACAACCAGAGUUGUUGGAACAUAGUAAGUAUUUCCAGUCAUGUGAUCUUUACGAUUCACUUGCUUUGAUUAAUGACUUUGAUUAAUGAAAACUAACUUAUACGUUCUACUCCUCUGAAGUGGUUAUAUGGCACCAGAAUACGCUAGUGAUGGGCAAUUCUCAGUAAAAUCCGAUGUCUUCAGCUUUGGAAUAUUAUUGCUGGAGAUAGUAAGUGGAAAAAAAAAUAGAGGAUUUUAUCAUUUGGACAACAAGCUUAAUCUCAUAGGACAUGUAAGCAAAACGCAUAUAUACGACAUUUUCUAUCAUAGUUUAAACCACUAAAUACAUUAUAAGUGACAAAAGAGUUAUGAUAUGUUGUUAGGCAUGGAAGUUGUGGAACAAAGGCAUGCCUUCAGAAAUGAUUGAUCCCUGUUAUCAAGAAUCUUGUAAUCUGACUGAAGUGAUACGAUGCAUUCACAUCAGUCUAUUAUGUGUGCAACAACAUCCUGAUGACAGGCCAUGUAUGCCCUCGGUGAUUUUGAUGCUGGGCAGUGAGAUUGUGCUGCCUCAGCCGAAGCAACCCGGUUUCUUGGCGGAUAGGAAAUCAAUUGGACCAGAUUCUUUGUUAAGCAUUCCCGAAUCAUCUUCAAGUAACUCAAUUACGAUCUCAGAGUUGGAGGCUCGUUAGAGAUCUAUUAGUAACAUGCCAUCUUCUACAUUAUCUCUGAAACUUAAAUGACAUAAUCAGUGAUAUUUCAGCUAAAUGAUUGAAUCAGAAAUGAUGAGGUUUUUGGUUCAAUUAUCCUACGAUGUAGUAUAAGUUGUGGAUCUCAAAUAGAAUGCUUCCUAAUGUUUAUAUAGAAAUUGUAAAUAAGAGGAACUCUUCAUAAUAGCCCUUAGCAUCUUGUUAUUUUUGUCAUGAUUAUUAUUUAAAAAUAGCAAUUCAAGAUAUCAAAAAUAUGAACGUUAUAUUGUUAUCAUUUUGACUUCCUCUCGUUUAAAAUUAAAGAAAGAUACACAAGAUUCCAACCAAAAUUUUGAGUUUCAUUGAACAAUCAUAAACUCUUAUGCAUAAAGUCUACGUUUAAUGGGUGAGAAAUUAUUUUUCUUACUCACAUUGUAAUUAUAAAUGGACCCUAAUUAUAUUUAAAAUCUUUAGGUUUUGUCCUAUUUUCUUCUUUCUUUUUCAAUACCUUAUUUUCUAACCACUGAUUUAGUUACUUUAGGAAUCCGACGGUUUCUGAUUUUCUCAUUUACUUUUAUACGUGUGACGCUGUAAGGAGAACACAAUGCAAUCUCAUGAGAAAAUUUUCAGAUCGCAUGAAAAAUCACACCUGUCAACAAGAUCUUUUUGUUACAUCAUAUUUAUAUAUUAAUAUAGUGUAAAUAAUUUAAACAUGUAACAAACAUAAAUUAAUUUACUAAUGAUAUUAAUUAGAGACUAGGUCAAAAUCUCAUUAAGUCAUUUGAAUUAGAAUAAAAUCUAAUCACAUUUUGAUUAAGUGCAUGUUUGGUAUGGCUUAUUUAAAAGGCAUAAGUGCUUAUUUAAUCGUAUAAGCACUUUUUAAAAUUUUUUAUGGUGUUUGGUUUUUUUUUAAUAGAGUUUUUUUAGCUUAAAUAAGCUAAUUUACCUCUACUAGUAAAAGCCCAAAAUUUGAGCUUUUGGGAGUAGAGACUAUAGAGCUUUUCUAAAAAUAUAUAAUAUAAAAAAUAUCACACAUUUUAAUGGUUCAAAAGUGCUUUUUUUAUUGACAACCAAACACCAAUGACUUUUUAUCCAAAAGCUCUAUUGGUAUAAGCUCUACUGCUAUAAGCUCUACUGUUAUAAGCUCUAUUUAAUAAGCUGUACCAAACGGAGCCUAAAACUUAACCUAAUUGCAUUGGCUUUGCCAAGUAGUAAAACGAUAUCCAUUGUUUAUCUACCCUAUCAACCUGCUUCCGCUACCCCCUUGUAUUAAUUAAUAUCAGAGAGAUCAAAAUCUCAUUGGAUUAAAAUUAGAUCUAAUCAAACUUCAAUUAAAAUGUAACUCAAUUGUAUUUGAUUGGCCCAGAACUAGAAUAAUAUUUAAUGUUUAUCUAUCCUAUAAUUCGCUUCCACUGCCCUGCUGCGUGAAUUACAUAAUGGACAUGUUCUUUUAUGAUUAACUUACCAAACCUGUAUAAUAAAUUAUAUGAUAACUGAUGGUUUCAAAAUCUAAAAUUUAUCAAACACCUUAAGAAAUUGUUUGCUAAGUUGAUUACUUCAGGAGUUAAAUAACGUUAACUAAUGGUGAGCUUAUUUAUGCUCAUUAUUUAAUUUUUAAUUUUUUUAUCUUUUUAACAAUCUAAAUUUUAUUGGGAGUCUAAAUACAUACAUUUAUUGUACACCAUAAAAAUAUGCCUAACUAACAAUUCGCAUAUCCAAAACGGGAUCAAGCUUGGGCGGUUGAAUUUUAAGUCUAAGGGGUCAUCAGUUCUGAGAGUUUGAAGUAAAAUUCAGCCUUUGAAUAACUGUCAAUUUGGUAUGAUUGAGUUUGGGAAACACGUUUAUCUCAAUUGUCUCAAAACUACUAUUUGGUUACUAAAUUGGAUUGAUUAUGGCUUUCUAAACUUUAAAGAAGCUUAAUCUAGUGAUUGAUCAGAGGACUUUUGGUUUCUGUUUUUAAGCCGGGAUGGUCUCAACUGCUGGAAGCAGAACAUGGAGGCACCCAAUUUAGAUGAUACAUACAGCGCAAUGUGCACCUUAAAAAAUCGUCUUUAGCCUAAAAAGUUUGUAAUUGGAGAUGAAUAAUAUAUAGAAAUAUAUACAUUUUUGCCUCAUCAGCAAUCUCAUGUUUCUGCUUCAAUUCACAGAUAUCUCAUAAAGAACACUGUUGUCUGCAAAGAACAACUUUAUGACAGGAAACUUCUUGUGAAAGUAAUGGUAGAAUUUGGUAGCAGCAAGAAAUGCCAACUGCCAAACAUUUGGAGAGCCCUCUGAUGGAAUUGAAGACUGCAGAAUUUUCUGGACUCCACAUCUCUGAAAGUGGCAAAAGGUUACAUGUAACUGAUGGGGCAUUAAGAGUUGAUUGUGCAAAACCCCGUACCCUGCACUCUAGGACAUUGUUGAUGUGUAAUUUACCUGUGAUUGAAGAAAUCUUGGUGAGUGAAAUCAACCUGCGAAACUUUACAGUAAAUACUCUUUGAUUUUAUGCUCUAGGUUUGAAUUUAUAUCUCAACAGCACAUCAUUGCUUCACUACAAACGACAAAAUGGAAGGUCAAAUCCAGCAUAAUUCUCUCAUGCAUCUGAAUAAAAUUCCAAUCCAGACCUAUUUGUAACGCAGCUGGACUGACCUUUAAAAUCCAAGAUCACUAAUAUUGGUUGCCAAGAUUUUAUUAUCACAUCAAAUGGGACAGGUUUAGUCGUGUAGAAUCUUGUCUUCAUAACCUCAUAGAAAUUGAAUUUUCAACUACCAGUCACUGUUGUUCAAGUUUCCACCACUUGCAACACUAAAUAAUUGCGUUCUCGCAAGGGAAUUUGAGUCCAGAAGCAUUGACUUCUAGUUCAAUGCCGUUAAAGAUGGAUCAUUAGUCAUAGUAUUAGCAUCUAUAUAGUUUGUUAGAGAGAGAUCUAAGUUUAUACACGAAUGGGUGUACUUUUAUUUUUGUUCGUCUGUUGUAAUUUACUAUUUUUCUUGCCUGAUUCCUCUUUUGGAUCUGAUACCAUUACUUCAUCUCAGUCUCUUAGUGAUGGUAGGACCUUAGUUUCAAAAGAUGGAAGCUUCGAGCUUGGUUUCUUCAGUCCUGGUAGUUCCAAGAAUCGUUACAUUGGAAUUUGGUACAAAAGCAUCCCAGUUAAAACUGUUGUUUGGGUAGCAAACCGACUCAACCCCAUCAAUGACUCUUCUGGAUUGUUAAUUAUAAACAAGAGGGGCAAUCUUAUUUUAAAAAGCCAGAGCAUGAGGGUAGUUUGGUCAGCAAGCUUGAGCAAAGAAGUGCAGCAGACUCCAGUGGUAUUACAGCUACUAGAUUCAGGAAAUCUUGUCCUCAGAGGUGAACAAGAGGGUGAUUCUGGAACUUAUUUCUGGCAAAGCUUUGAUUAUCCUUCUGAUACAUUGCUUCCAGGAAUGAAGCUCGGAUGGGAUUUAAAGACUGGCUUUGAGCGACGUGUAAUAUCGUGGAAGAGCGCAGACGACCCGUCUCCUGGAGACUUUAUUUGGGCAGUUGAACGACAAGAUAAUCCUGAGGUAGUCAUGUGGAAGGGUUCAAGCAAGUUUUAUACCACUGGCCCGUGGAAUGGCCUUAGCUUCAGUGCCCCAACGACAAGGCCUAACCCAAUUUUUAACUUCAGCUUUGUCGCUAAUGAGGAUGAGCUGUGCUACACAUUCAGCAUCAAAGAUAAAGCAGUUGUCUCAAGGAUUGUCAUGAACCAAACCACCUAUUUAGGUCAAAGAUUCACAUGGAGUAAUAACACUCAAACUUGGGACUUGUAUUCAAAAGCGCCAAGAGAUGAAUGUGACACUUAUGGUCUUUGUGGUGCCUAUGGUGUUUGCAUUAUCAGCAAAUCGCCCGUAUGCCAAUGUUUAAAAGGUUUUAAAACUAAAUCAGGCGGGUACAUGGACUGGCAUGAAGGGUGUGUGCGUAGUAAGGCAUUAAACUACUCUAGACAAGAUGGUUUUAUCAAAUUUACUGAGCUGAAAUUGCCAGAUGCUAAUUUCUCUCGGGUGAGCAAAAGUGUGAAUCUCAAGGAAUGCAGGGAGAAGUGCUUAGAAAACUCUUCAUGUAUGGCGUACACAAAUUCAGAUAUCAGAGGAGGCGGCAGUGGCUGUGCCAUGUGGUUUGGCGAUCUGAUUGACAUGAGAAGCUUUCCAGAUGGUGGGCAGGACUUCUAUAUUCGAAUGUCUGCUUCAGAGCUAGGUAUUUGCUGACCUCUUUAUGUUACUCCAUAAUGAGAAUUUAGAAGUGCCACUCCAGUUAGAUUACAUGUUCCCAUUUUUUUUAUUGUGUGAUUUGUUCACGAGUUCAGAUAUUGAGGUACUCCUAUCUGCUUGAACAGUGAAUUUUUGCUGCAACUUGAGUUUUUUUUUUUUUUUCUUUACCUUUAUGAUUAUUGACGUACUUUACUAUAUCUGAAUAUGCCAAUCAAGGAAUGAAAGGCGAGCCUACGACAAAGAUAGUGGUGCUAGUCAUUUCUGCCGUUGCUCUGUUGGCCGUGGUGCUUAUAUCUGGCUAUUUGAUCCACAAACGAAGGAGAAACAUAGCAGGUAAAAUAACUCCCUUUGCCUUCACAUAUUUAUUGCCAUUUGUUUGAACUUUUACGCAGCAGUUUUCAUUCAACCAAUGGUUCCGAUAGUUUUCUUUGCUUUCUUCAUUAUGAGUUCUUCAAUCAAAUUCUUUACCAAGUAGAUAGUAUUGAAAGAGCAUAUCAAUUAGACGGGGACUGUUAAAUGAAUGAACUUUAAUAAAUUUUGUGGAAAAGAAGAACCUUCGCAUCAAGAACAAGAAAAUGGAAGUUUCCAUUUUAAUUAAGUCCUGUAUCUGGACUGCAUAUGUUUCUUUCGGUUAGUACUGUCCAUUAUUAUUUCUGUGAAAACAGAAACUGAUCAGGAAAACGAAGAUCAAAACAUUGACCUGGAGCUACCACUAUUUGAAUUAGCUACAAUUUCUAAUGCCACCAAUAACUUUUCAAUCAACAACAAGCUUGGAGAAGGUGGCUUUGGACCUGUAUACAAGGUAAACAGAAACUUGCUUGUCAAAAUUACUUAUUUUACCUGGUAAUUAAAUUCACAUGUCUUUCCAGGGCACACUUGUGGAUGGGCAGGAAAUUGCUGUGAAAAGGCUUUCAAAGAUUUCUGAUCAAGGAUUGAAGGAGUUGAAGAAUGAAGUUAUACUAUUCUCCAAAUUACAGCACAGAAAUCUUGUAAAGCUUCUUGGCUGCUGCAUUCACGGAGAGGAGAAAUUGUUGAUUUAUGAAUUCAUGCCGAACAAAAGCCUGGACUACUUCAUAUUUGGUCUGGAUGCCUCUAAAACUUACAAUUUUCAGCUAGCUAGUCCCUUGAUUAUAAACGUUUCUUAUAAUUUAGUGCAGAUUUUUUUUUAUAAAAAAAAAAGAGAGAAUUCAAGCUGAAAAUUGUACUAACCUUUGUUAUGAUACUCUCUAGAUCAAACUAAUAGUAAGCUAUUGGAUUGGUCCAAGCGUUUUCACAUUAUAUGUGGAACUGCUAGGGGGCUUCUCUACCUUCAUCAAGAUUCUAGAUUGAGGAUUAUACAUCGAGAUCUCAAAGCAAGUAAUGUGUUACUUGAUCAUGAUAUGAACCCAAAAAUUUCAGAUUUUGGCUUGGCUAGAACUUGUGGUGGAGACAAGACAGAAGGAAACACAAACAGAGUGGUUGGAACAUAGUAUGUCUUGUUUUUUCAUCUUUAUUAUUCAUUUCCACUGAUUAAUAAAAUUUAACUUUUUCUGAUUCUUUGAAGUGGUUAUAUGGCACCGGAAUAUGCUAGUGAUGGGCUAUUCUCAACAAAAUCCGAUGUCUUCAGCUUUGGCAUUUUGUUGCUAGAGAUAGUAAGUGGAAAAAAAAAUAGAGGAUUUUAUCAUUCAGACCACAGCCUUAACCUUAUUGGACAUGUAAGUAAAAUGCACACUCUUCUUAGAAAAUGAAUCAAGAAUUAUGUCACUUUAAUUUUGACUUAAAUUAGUUUAAACUGAUAAAUCAUAAAUGAUGAAAAAGUUUUGAUAUCUUUUAGGCAUGGAAGUUGUGGAACGAAGGCAUGCCUUUACAACUGAUCGAUGCUUGUUAUCAAGAAUCAUGCAAUCGCGCUGAAGUGAUACGAUGUGUCCACAUUAGCUUAUUGUGUGUGCAACAGCAUCCCGACGACAGGCCAAGCAUGCCAUCAGUGAUCUUGAUGUUGGGCAGUGAGAUUGUAUUGCCUCAGCCAAAGCAACCUGGUUUCUUGGCGAACAAGAAAUCAACAGAACCAGAUUCUUCAUCAAGCAUGCUUGAAUCAUCUUCUACUAACACAAUUACGAUCUCAGAGUUGGAGGGUCGAUAGAGAAGCUAUUAGUGAAACGUCUUAUGAGACACUUUCUGAAACUUAAAGAGUACAUUUUCAGUAAUAUUUCAAACUUGGAAUGAUUUAUUCACAGUUUUAACGCUCUUGUGAAUCUAGUACCAACGAUUAAUUUUACUAGUCGGAUUACAACUUAAUAAUUUUGUUACAACUUAUCUAUCCUGGAGUGGAUCCUAAUCCAUAUUUUUUAGUCUAAUUUAUCUGGAGGAAGAUGAAUAACCUUAUUAAAAGAUGUCAUAUCAAUAAAUAUUAAUAAAUCUUUAAAUUAUUUUGUCUUUCAUUAUGUUAACAAAUUGUUAAAUUUUCUAACUGACAUCCCAUGACGCCGACAUAAUUUGUGAUCAUCAAUUAAAUUUUUUGCAUCUAAUAAUUGGUAACACACUAAUCUUUCAAUGGAUGCUGAUAAAGCCAUUAAGGGGCCAUCAUCACCUUUGAGAGUUCGAAGAAAAUCUCAGCCUUUUUGGGUUUGCAAGACUUGAGUGAUGAUGAUCUCAAGUGUAUGUUGAAAGAAGGUGACUUUGAUUGUGAUAGAGCUCUUAAGCAGAUGGAGUUUUGUGUCUUGAUGCUUAAAUUGAGUCCUGAGGUGAUGAUGCUUCAAGGUUAUUGGUUGAAGAAGCUCUAGAACAAGAGUUCAGUGGUUGUCAUGGAUUUUCGGCCUUUUAUUUAUUUAUUUGUUUGUUCGUUUUAUUGAUGUUUCAAGAUUUUUUUUUAAUGAAAUAAAUUUUCUUAUGCAGAAGGAAAUGAGAAAUAUAGAUAACCAUUUGGAAUAUCUAUUUACUUGUUUUAUGGCAUAUACUAAGAAUGUAGAUAUGAAUUUGGCUUGAUAACUUAGCAACAGCUACAAAAGUUUUUGUCAAUUUGGUCCGAUUGCCAUCCAAUUUAAGAGAGUUGGGGAUCAAGUCUUGCUCAGUUGUCUCAAGACUUUACUAUUUGGUUACCAAAUUUAAUCAAUCAUGGCUCUCCAAACUUUGAAUAGCCUAACGUAGCGAUUGAUCAGAGGACUUGGGUUUCUCGGUUUAAGCCUGGAUGUUCUCAAGUGGUGGAAGCCCAACAUGCGGGCUCCCAAAUUAGAUGAUCUAUCUAUACAGCCCCAUAUGCUUAAAAAAUCAAUCUUUUGCCUAAAAUUUUUUGUAAUUGGUGCCUCAUCAGCAAUCUAUGUUUCUGCUCCAAGUUACUGAUAUCUCAUAGAGAACAUUGUUGUCUGGAAAACUGUGGCAAAAGCUUGACACUGGAGCUGGAGGUGAGUUUUACUUGAGAUACAUUGUCUAAUCAAGCAAUGAGUUGUUGUAAACCUUGAUGACAGGCUAAAGAAAUAUUAAAAUGCAAAAACUUUACCGUAGGAAAGUUCUUGUAAAAGUGACGGUCCCCUCUGGUAGCUAUUAGAAAUUUCAAAUGUCCAAAUCUUUUGAGGGCCCUGUGAUGGAAUCGGCUUCAAGACCUGCUGAAUUUUCUGGAUUCCAAGGGUAUGUUUGGGAUUGCUUUUGGCUUUAAAAUUUUUGGGUUGAUUCAUAAUUUUGGGUUAGAUUUUGUGUAAAGAUAUAUAUAUAUAUAUAUAUUUUGCCCCUGUGACAUCAUCAUGACAUCUGUAUUUGACUAGUCGUUCUAACCAAAAAAAUAAUAAAAAUUAAACUACAACAAAAACACUUUAAUAAUUUAUGUAGUGGUUUGUGUUACUUCAUCAUAGUUGAAGACUUGAAGUAGUGAGAUAAUAAAUAAAUAAAUAAUAGCUCCAAAAAAAAAAAAUUAAAUAAUGUAUUGCGUGUUCAAACCGCCUUCAGUAUAACAUUUGGCCCCAAAACUAAUAAAACUAAUAGAAAUUGUAAAGAAUAAAUAAUAGCAUAACAUUUAGCCCCUACCGUUUGUAGGCUGUUCUGUUGACUGUUUGUUGGCCGAUGAAAAGACAAGGAUACCCCUCGCGCUCAAAUCAAGAACCGAAUUUACUAUUUCGACUGCUGUAAUCUGCUUUAGCGCCAAAGGGUAGAGUACUUGCCAAAUGACAAAACGCCAUUGACAAAACAAUGACAUUACUGAAUCAUUAAAAAAUAAUAAUAAUAAAUUAAAUACAACUCUAUUCCUCUUAUGACCAUAAAUUGUUACAUUUGUAAGCAAAAAAUAAACAAAUAGAUAGAUGAAAAAAAAAAAAAAACACAUUUCCCAUUUCUUUCACUUGCUUCUCAAGCCAUACACACUCUUUCAUCAAUUAAUCACAGCUCAACUUUUAAUUGAAUUUCAAACAUUGGAAUCAAACCAUGGAUUCACAAAGGUCAAAAUAGGGGAGUGUUUGGAAUUGAGAUGAUGUAGCUUCUAAGUUAUAGUUGUUGUGGAAAAAAAACUGUAACUAUAAAACAAAAGUUAGUAAUAUAUAGUAAAUGUGAAUUUUAAAUAAUAAUUUUGAUAAAAUUAUUAAAAAUAUAAUAAAUUUUCCAUUAUACAAGUGAAAAAUCAUAUUAAUAUAGCUCUCAAGCUACUGCUCUAAAGUGUUUGGUUUACAGCAACUAGUGUUUACCAAACACUUUAGAGCUGUAGCUGUCCAACCUCAAUCCCAAACGCACCAUAUAUCAAGCAAAUCAACAACAAUUUUAUGCACCAUGUUGAAAGUUUUCUCAUCUAGGACUGGCAAGCACCAGAAUGGCUGGAUCAUCAACAACAAUUUAUGAGCCACUGUGUCUCGGUUUCACUGAAUUGCUGGAUGAUUAGCUUGGUCUUGAAGCUGAAAUUUUCACCUAGAACUGAGAAAAUAGUUAAAUGAAAUAAUAUGACAUACAAUAAAGUCAACAAAAUAAAAGGACAAAUAAACUUAUUUAGUAAUGUCGCAAUUAUAUUUAUUGCCAUGCUAUCACUUUCAUUGCAGACAUCAUCACCAUAAUACUAGCAGUCUAGCACUAAUAGUCAGAAUAAUAAUAAUAAUAGUAGUAGCACAAUUUUUGAAAUUUCUGUAGAGUAAGAUCUAAAGAUGCCAAAAAUAUCAUAUGAAAAAAAAAAAGGUCCAAGAAUUCAAGGAAAGAAAACUCAUUAACAAAGAACCUAACUUUUUAAUCAUGUUUAAUAAACUAAGUUCUUAUGAUUUUCCAUUAUUAAGACAAUUGGUUUCUGCUUUCUAAUGUUUCAAAGCAUACCAAGAAAUAUUAACAAUUACCAAAUCAGUAAGCAGCACAAUUACUUGAUAAGACUUUUGACUUGUCUAACCCAAAAUUGUACCCAAUUCUACACUCUACUAUGAAGCUUAUGAAGCCGAACUUACUUUGACCAAACAACACUAUUAGCUCAGUUAAAGGAAACCACAACUGAACAAAGAUCAGAUGAAAUAACUAAAUUGAAAAAAGUUCAUAAAACUAAAAAUAACUUAUAUUAGUCUAUUAAAGACAUACAAAACAGGAAGAUAAAUAAACAUAGGUCUAUUUUCUUGACACUGCCAAGUUUUGGUUUCAAAAUCACCAUAUUGCAAUAAUAAAUUGUUGUGAUUCCUAAGAUACAAUAUGUAGCAGCUUAUAUGCUGGCAAUCAUAGUCAAAGAAGAUGGUUGUCAAACGUCCUCGCAAAUCAAGAAGCUAAUAAAGACCAGGUCGCACAACAUUACCAUAUAUCAGUUCUUUGAUAUAAAGAUAUUGAAUGUUAUACACUUCUAAUCCCAAGUCCUGAAACAUAAAACAAAAGUUCACUUCACACAUUCAUAAAGCUAAAGUACUAGAGAAAUGGAGAAUAGGCAUGGAUAUGGGUCAAUAAACUAUUAAGCUAAUUAAUGCACACGACGGCAUCUGUUAGAACUAGUUAAAUAGCCCUUACCAGAGAACUAGCAGAAGCAUCCAAUUUCCUAAAAGGAGAUAACUUACAACAUAAACAUUUUGAUAGGCAGCGAUACACAUAAAAUAGCAUCACUUACCAUUAAGCAAUAUGCUAGUAUUAACUUACGAGAUAACAACUGAUGAUUGAUUCAGUUGCACUUACAUAUGCCUAAAGUUUUAACUUUCAAAUUGAUUGCUGCUUGCUCCUUUAUCUAGAAACAUAUUUGACGGUGAUUAAUCCUGACCUCUACCAUGCCAUUCAAUUUUCAUAUUCUCAUAAUCAUAAAUUCACUUUUAGGAAUAUCAACUCCACUAUUAAGAGCCCAAACUUGAUCAAACAGAACUAUUAGCUCAUAACUUCAUCAAUUGGAUAAAUAAAGUCACAAUAACAAUGCCAGCAGCUGCUUCAACACAUCAUCAACAAACCCAUUUUCAUUUAAUCAACAAAAAUCCCCGACAGCAUUUUCAACACAUCAACAAACCCAUUUUCAUUUUAAUUGAUAAAACAACGCCAGCAGCAGAGCAACUUCAUCAAAACAUCAACAAACCCAUUUUCAUUUUAAUCCACAAACAACACCAGCAACAGAACAUAUUCUUCGACACAUUAACAAACCCAUUUUCAUUUUUAAAUAACAAAACAAAAUAAUGCCCAAUCACUGAUUUCCAACAUGCAAAGAGUUUUUUUUUUUUUUCAAAGACUAACCUUCUACGCUAUUGAGCGACGGUCGCCUCUAGCCCCGACCGCAGGCGGCACUCAGUCGACGCCGUCACCCUUGAUUAUCACCUUACGGUUGAUUUCUUUAUCUUCAAAGCAUUUAGAGGUGGAUAUGUUUUUGUGUUUCGGUUAGAUGAAGGAGAAUUGUUUUUGUGAUGAAUAGAUUUGAUGAAAGAGAAGAAACACUCUCAAAUCUGCUGGAUAUAUUAUGUAGCGAUAGAUGCAUUGGAUAAUAACUUGUAGCCUCAGCAUUUUAUUUUUUAAAAUUUAAUUUUUGGAAUAUAAAUGUGUACUACGAUUCUACGAAUUUACCCUCAUCCAUUAACGAUAAAUGAAACGGUAUACAGACUGUAGGGGAGGAAAGUGAAGAUACAUUGAUAAUUUCUAUCAAGUGGAAAUACGCUAAACCUUAGGGGAUACAACUGCAAAUUACCCUUUUUCAUGGUACCUCAUAAUUAGUGGAAAACAAAACAAAUAUACAAAAACAGAUAAACUUCAAAUCAUUUUCCCGUGAUACUCAAUAAUAUAAUUCAACUGCCUCAAGCUCUGACAUUAACAAUCCUUCAGGAGUAUCAUUUUGAUGCACCUUGCUAAAUUACAUAAAAUAUAUCAUUCAACGAAUCACUAGGAAACCACUUGUUAGUUGUGAUGUAUGUAACCUAACCACACCCCAUUUUAACGUACUUUCGUCUGCAAUGUAAGAUAGAAAGAUUCCAAUAAAAAAUUUGAUUCUUGUCCGAACAUAACUACGAUGUGCACAAAGUCUGUGUUGCUACAAGAACGAUUUUAAUGGAGGACAAAUUAUUUUUCUUACAUUUACAUUAUCUUCGGUGGGACUCCACUUGUAAUCGAAGAUUUUGUUCUGUGUCUCAUUUACCAGGUGUUUAGGUUGCCAUUUUCUGUUUUCUUUCUCAAAAACUUAUUUUCUAACCAUUGAUUUGGUUACCUUAUGAACCGACGGUUUCCCUUUUCUUUAUAUAUAUAUAUAUAGGUUGCUGUCGUGGUCAAAUGAAAGAUCGUGUAAUAUUGCUUUGCCUCCAAGAUUUUAUUAUAAUAAUCCUGUUCAUAUGUUCAUAGAAGUUUCAGGUACAGGUCAUCGUUUUUCAAGGUCCCAUCACUUCACAACAUUGAAUAAUUACUUCUAAAGGAAAUUUGAGCCUAUGCAGGCAGAACAAGCCAACUUCGGCUGCAGGUAUUGGCCUGAAGGUCAGCAUAAACUAAUUUAAAUAAGCCAAGAUAGAUCAUUAAUUAGGGUGUUUAUAUGUAUUUAACUUGUGAGCGAGAUCUAAAUCUAAAUAGUAGAAACCAAUGGAUGCACUUUCGCUCUUGUUAAUCUGUUGCAAGUUACUGCUUAUCUUUUCUGAAUUCUCAUUUGCAUCAGAUGUCCUUACUUCGUCUCAGUCUCUUAGUGAUGGAAACACCUUAAUAUCAAAAGGUGGAAGCUUUGAGCUUGGUUUCUUCAGUCCCGGUAGUUCCAAGAAUCGUUAUGUGGGAAUUUUGUACAAAAGUAUACCAGUUAAAACAGUUGUUUGGGUUGCAAACCGCCUCAAACCCAUCAAGGACUCUUCUGGCUUGUUAAUGAUAAACAGGACAGGCAAUCCUGUUUUAACAAGCCCGAGCAUGGGCAUAGUUUGGUCAGCGAGCUUGAGCAAAGAGGUGAGUUCUCCUCUGGUAUUACAGCUACUGGAUUCAGGAAAUCUUAUCCUCAGAGGUGAACAAGAUGGUGAUUCUGAAAAUUAUUUUUGGCAAAGCUUUGAUUAUCCUUCUGAUACAUUGCUACCAGGAAUGAAGGUCGGAUGGGAUUUAAAGACAGGUCUUGAGCGGCGCUUGACAUCAUGGAAGAGCUCAAAUGACCCGUCUCCUGGAGACCUUAUUUUGAAAAUUGAACGACAAGGAUAUCCCUAUCUAGUGAUGUGGAAGGGAUCAACAAAGUUCUAUAGGACCGGCCCAUGGAAUGGCGUUACAUUCAGUGCUUCAUCACUAAAGCCUAACUCAAUCUUUAACGUCAGCUUUGUAUUUAAUGAGGAUGAGCUCUACUACACAUUCAACCUCAUAGAUAAAGCUGUUUUCUCAAGGACUGUUGUGAACCAAACACUCUCUUUACGUCAACGAUUCGUGUGGAGUAAAGCAACUCAAAGUUGGGAGCUGUAUUCAAAUUUGCCAAGAGAUCAGUGUGACACCUACAAUCUCUGUGGUGCCUACGGCAUUUGCAGCAUUAGCAAAUCGCCUAUUUGCCAAUGUUUAAUAGGUUUCAAACCUAAAUCAGAGGGUUAUGUGGAACGGUCUCAAGGGUGCGUACGUACUAAGCCGUUAAACUACUCUCGACGUGAUGGUUUUGUCAAAUUUAAUGAUCUGAAAUUGCCAGAUUCUACUUCCUCUUGGGUUAGCAAAAGUAUGAAUCUCAAUGAAUGCCGGGAGAAAUGCUUAGACAACUCUUCUUGUAUGGCAUACACAAAUUCAGAUAUCAGAGGAGAAGGCAGUGGCUGUGCCAUGUGGUUUGGUGAUCUGAUUGACAUCAGAUACUUCCAAGAUGGUGGGCAGGACUUGUAUAUUCGAAUGUCUGCUUCAGAGCUAGGUAUCCGUAUACUUCUUUAUGUCAUUCCAUUAUGAGAACUUAGGAGUACCACUCCAGUUAGACUAGUUCCACAUUUUUAUUGUGCAAUUUAGUAUUGAGUUCUGAUUGAGAAGCUCCUUUCGCAUAAAGCAGUUUCUGGGUAUAGCUUCUAUGCAUGGAAUUUUCCUGCUAUUUGAAUCCUUUUUUCUUAGCUAUAUGAUUAUUGACUUGCUUUGCUAUAUCUGAAUACGCUGAUCAAGAAGCGAAAGGUGAGCCUACGACAAAGAUAGUGGUGAUAGUCAUUUCUAGUGCUGCUCUGCUAGCAGUGCUGCUUAUAGCUGGCUACUUGAUUCGCAAACGCAGGAGAAAUAUAGCAGGUAUAAUAGCACUCCAUUUUCCUUCACAAAUUUAUAGCCAUUUGCUUGCAUUUUUAUGAUAGCCGUUUCCUUUCAAUCAAUAUUUAUAUGAGUCCAAUUUUUCUGUAUCAAAUCUUCAAUAAAAUCUUUCACCAAGUAGAAUAAGUUUUUAUAUGCAGCAAUAACUGUACGUUUGUUUCAAGAUGAAGAGUUAACAUUGCAUAUCAUUUAGAUCAGGGGCAAGGUAAUUAAACUUGUAAAUUUUUGGUUGGAAUAGCAGUUUUACAUACUUGCAUUUAGUGUUAUAUUAAUACACGCUUCUUUUUCACCUAUGGUUCUCUAUUUACUUGCACUUUCAUAUUGACUGGAAAAUAGCUUUAAUACAAAUUUACAGAUAAAGAACCUUCUCAUCAGGAAGAUGAAAAUUGUAGUUACUAGUUAGUAGUUUGUCCAGUAUACGUACUGCAUAUGCGCUUUCAGCUAAUAUUGUCCAAUAUUUCAGAGAAAACAGAAAACGAUCAGAUUCAAAACAUAGACCUGGAGCUACCAUUGUUUGAGUUAGCUACAAUUGUUAGUGCCACCAAUAACUUUUCAAUCAACAAGAAGCUUGGACAAGGUGGCUUUGGACCCGUUUACAAGGUAAACUUGAAACUUGCUAGUCAAAAAUACUUAUUUUAAUUGGUAACUAAAUUCACAUAUAUGUCUUGCCAGGGCAAGCUAGUGGAUGGACAGGAAAUUGCUGUGAAGAGGCUUUCGAAGAUUUCUGAGCAAGGAUUGAAGGAGUUGAAGAAUGAGGUUAUACUGUUUUCCAAAUUACAGCACAGAAAUCUCGUAAAGCUUCUUGGCUGCUGCAUUCAAGGAGAGGAGAAAUUGUUGAUUUAUGAAUUCAUGCCGAACAAAAGCCUGGACUCUUUCAUUUUUGGUCUGGAUCCCUCUAAACCUUAAAAUAUUCGGCUAGCUUGUGCCUUGAUUAUAGACGUUUCUUAUGUAUUUUCAGAAAAUUUUGCACUAACCUUAGUGUGGUAAUUUGUAGAUCAAGAAAGAUGUAUGAUAUUGGAUUGGUCCAAGCGUUUCCACAUUAUUUGUGGGACUGCUAGGGGCCUUCUGUACCUUCAUCAAGAUUCUAGAUUGAGGAUUAUACAUCGAGACCUCAAAGCAAGUAAUGUGCUACUCGAUCAAGAUAUGAACCCAAAAAUUUCAGAUUUUGGUUUGGCUAGAGCUUUUGGUGGAGACGAGACAGAAGGAAACACAAACAGAGUGGUUGGAACAUA